ensembl:lncRNA
CCCAUUGCUAUAUGUCAGUUGCAUCUCAGUGAAGUUGGGAAAAAAAUAAGCAUCUCAUUCUUUUACCAGGACAACCUGUGCAGAGGAGUAAGUUGCUGAUGAUCAAACUUAAGGCUGUUUUAACACAUGAAACAGUGAUGAAAUCCUAGAGGGUGUAUUUCAACAGCCAUGGUCCCCUCUACCACUUGCAUUCCUUUAAGUUCAUGUGAGAAAGAGGAUGAGAGUCUGGUGAGAGUGCAGUCAGUCUGGGAGAGUCAAAUGCAGUUUUUUCUUCUAGGUAGAUGGGGCCCUGGAUAAUUGGACCCAGGUGCCUGGAAGAGAGGCCACAAAGCUUUCAAGGUAUAAUCAAGCCUACUUAAGAUUAUAAACAGCACGUGUCCUUUGCUUGUCAGAGCGCUCUCAGCCUCACCUCUGACAGGACUCUCCAGUUCUUUCCCUUCAAACAAAAGUCCUCGCCUCCUCCUGCUGUUUCCACAACCCAGUUCCCAUGACUUUUGUUCUUCCCACUGCUGAAGGGAUUCUGCUUCAAUCCCUUUUCCCAAUCCCAGAAUCAAUCAGAUGCAUCUCCAGUGUCAAGGAUUCCUGGCAGGAGCCCCAAAUGGGCAAGAGUGGAGUCCAGGUCCUCUGCACAGAUGGAGUUGGCCCUUGGCGGCCCUGCACAACACAAGAUCACGGCAGGGCCACGAUCUUGGCUAACUCCACAGUGGCUGUCAAGCUCGCAGUACAAUGCCUGGCAUACUGGAGUUCAAAAAACCACACCAAGGACUCAUCACAGCUGACACCUGACGCUCACAGGUUAAGAACAUGCAAUUUUGAUGAAUCUGCCCAAACUUCAGCACCCAUGAAAUUCAAGUCUUUCAUUUUCUGGAAGCUCAAAUUUGAAUUUCCUCUUUGUGAGGCUAAUCCGUGGGAAAUAGUCAUUGAGCUGAGUCCACUGUUCAAUUUCAAAGCAACUUGGUGUAUUUGGACAGGGAUAUAAACUCUCCUCAGGGGACAGAAGGAACUCCUAACAUUCUCACUUAUACCCUGCUGUAAUUUCUGGAGGAAAUUAUAUGCUAUGCAGUGGUCCCCAAACUUUUGACCCCAGGGACCGGUUUCGUGGAAGACAACUUUUCCACAGAUCAGGCGGAGGGGGAUGGUUUUGGGAUGAUUCAAGUACAUUCUAUUUAUUGUGCUCUGUCCAUGGAAUUCUCCAGGCAAGAGUACUAGAGUGGGUAGCCAUUCCCUUCUCCAGCGGAUCUUCCCGACGCAGGGAUCAAACCUGGAUCUCCUGCACUGCAGACAGAUUCUUUACCAUGCUAGGAACCCAGGAGGAGCCUGGGAGCCCAGCAGGCAGCAAGCACAGUGUGCAUUUGGGGAUGGAGUGACCCUGCCGUGAUCUGUGCAUGAGGAGGGAAGGCAUCCACUUUUUUCUCCCCAAAUGAAUAAAGGUCUCCUGUAGAGCCCUUUUACAGAGACGUCCAACCAGAUUAAGCAGGCAAUGAAGACCCAACAAACGGUGGCUUAAAUAAGAUGUGACUCACAGGCAGCAGGCCAGCGUUAGUGCAAUGUCUGCUGGGACUCAUCAAACACCUGGCUGCUUCGCUAUUUCUGCUCACCAGCCCGGUAUUCUGCAGUUCUUUUCUUGGGGAAAGAGGCUGCUCCCGGUGUCCACACUCACAGCUAAAGGACAGGAGGUCAACAAGGUGCAAUUGCUUAACGGCCGACCCCAGCGAGGUCUGCUCACAUCUUGUUGGCCAGAAGUGGAUCACGUUGCCCGUCCUGACUGCAAUGGAAUCUGGGAAGCUGAAUGGUUUAACUGACGGCACAGCUGCAGCUUACAGUAAAAUCAAGGUUCUCUUGGUGUGGAAGAAGGGGAUAAUAAACAGGAGUGUUGGUCACAAAAGUGUAAAGGCCAAAAAUACAAACAUAUUUCCAACUCUGAUACCUCCCUCUCAUCAGCAAUGUUUCUCCUUGUCUACAGAUUCCCAGUGGUAAUGGUCCACGCUCUUGCAAAUCCCAGCCAGUUCAAUUUGACUAUACAAUGUCAGAGGCCCUGCAUUACCUCCCUCCUAUCUACUCACUUUCCCAGGAGUGAUGUUCCUGGCAUCUUUUAAGACUCUAAAAUAACAUAAGUACUUGGGGGUGGGGUGGGGCAGAACAUUCCCUGGACUCCAUGGGCUGUCUUCAGGGUUGAGGGCUGGAUAUUCCCGAGGAGCAGAAUUGGAUGCAAAUUCCUUCUCACUCUGCUGCUCUUCCAGCCCCCUUCUGCCAGCCCCCCUCCCCCCGACACAGCAGUCCUCUGAGGAUUGUAUCAUGGGAUUGUCUCCAUCAGUGCAUUUCUUACAAACAUCUGGUGGUACAGCCUUGCCUGUUCCAAUGCUCUGAGUCUCAGACCACAGGCGUUCUCC